UCAAGCAGUAUAAAUUGGAGGAGUAGAGGUUGGGGUGCGCGUUUGCUGUAUCGAUGAGGGAGGUUUGAGGUGGAUGAGGGAUAACAGCACAGUGAGGGCAGAGAAGGACUCAUCCCAGGAACAAGACUUACCCCUGGAGGGCACAGCAAUAUGAAUACAGGAUUCAAAAAGACUGCAGGCUGAUCAAGUGGGAUGCAACGAAGCUUCGAGUGCUAUAUGAUGCCCGCCUGCACCUGUGUGACGUGUGACUUGAAAGUAGACAUGGCAAUGUGCUACAUGCCACCUUUGUUUUCAUAUCCCCUUCCACUGAUAGCCUGAGGCUGAUCCAUCCCUGUUGGUGUGACAAGAGGCAGAAAGAGAAGGAAGAAAUAAAGAAAAAUGACAACACUUCCUUCAGGAUUCAUUCUCUCAACAACUGAACUAUUAUGCAUCUGAACUAUUAUGCAUUGACUUUCAUCAUAGUUGACUUUUGUCCUGCCUGAUAUAGCCUUAUAAUAUAACAACAGAUAAUACUAAUAAUAGGAGGCAGCUAUUAAUUCCAGUAGCAAUAUAUUAAUAAGAGUUUAUAGUAAGACUAAUAUUAAUGAUGAUUUAUUAAUGGUCAAUAACGAUUGUAACUGUUCAUUUCCUUAUCACAGCAUUUCAAAGCAGGUAGAUUUUCCUUAUCAGCCUUGACACAUCACACACAUCCUGGGCUUCCACCAUAUAUAUGUAGCCAAUGUGUGAUAUAUGUUAUAUAUAUUUCUGUUACACAAGAGGCACCAGUACAAAUUCUUUUUAUCCUCCCUCCCUCCAGUUUUCAGAUCCCCUUCCACUGUUAGCCGCAGGUUGAUCCAUCCCUGUUGGUGUGACAUAUUGGAAGAAAGAGAAAGGAAGAAAGAGAAAAUGAAGAGCAUGACAACACUUCCUUCAGGAUUCAUGAUUGUAAUGGUUCAGUUCCACCAUAUAUAUGUAGCCAAUGUAUGUUCAAUAUCGUUCUGUUAUAUAUAGAAUUAGAGAGAUGAGAAAGCAAAUAGAUAUAUUUGAUUAUA